AGUGAACGCUGGCGGUAGGCCUAACACAUGCAAGUCGAACGGCAGCACAGUAAGAGCUUGCUCUUACGGGUGGCGAGUGGCGGACGGGUGAGGAAUACAUCGGAAUCUACUUUUUCGUGGGGGAUAACGUAGGGAAACUUACGCUAAUACCGCAUACGACCUACGGGUGAAAGCAGGGGAUCUUCGGACCUUGCGCGAUUGAAUGAGCAGAUGUCGGAUUAGCUAGUUGGCGGGGUAAAGGCCCACCAAGGCGACGAUCCGUAGCUGGUCUGAGAGGAUGAUCAGCCACACUGGAACUGAGACACGGUCCAGACUCCUACGGGAGGCAGCAGUGGGGAAUAUUGGACAAUGGGCGCAAGCCUGAUCCAGCCAUACCGCGUGGGUGAAGAAGGCCUUCGGGUUGUAAAGCCCUUUUGUUGGGAAAGAAAAGCAGCAGGUUAAGACCCCGCUGUUCUGACGGUACCCAAAGAAUAAGCACCGGCUAACUUCGUG
rnacentral:rRNA from 1 species